rnacentral:rRNA from 1 species
UACGUAGGGGGCAAGCGUUGUCCGGAAUCAUUGGGCGUAAAGAGCGUGUAGGCGGCCCGGUAAGUCCGCUGUGAAAGUCCAGGGCUCAACCCUGGGAUGCCGGUGGAUACUGUCGGGCUCGAGUCCGGAAGAGGAGUGUGGAAUUCCUAGUGUAGAGGUGAAAUUCGUAGAUAUUAGGAAGAACACCAGUGGCGAAGGCGGCUCACUGGAUCGGUACUGACGCUGAGGUGCGAAAGCGUGGGGAGCAAACAGG